rnacentral:rRNA from 1 species
AGGAGGCAGCAGUGAGGAAUAUUGGUCAAUGGACGCAAGUCUGAACCAGCCAUGCCGCGUGAAGGAUGAAGGCCUUCUGGGUUGUAAACUUCUUUUACAUGGGAAGAAAACUACGAUUUCUAUUGUAGCCGACGGUACCAUGGGAAUAAGCACCGGCUAACUCCGUGCCAGCAGCCGCGGUGAUACGGAGGGUGCAAGCGUUAUCCGGAUUUACUGGGUUUAAAGGGUGUGUAGGCGGGUCUUUAAGUCAGUGGUGAAAUCUCCGAGCUCAACUUGGAAACUGCCAUUGAUACUAUUGAUCUUGAAUUUUGUUGAGGUGGGCGGAAUAAGUCAUGUAGCGGUGAAAUGCAUAGAUAUGACUUAGAACUCCGAUUGCGAAGGCAGCUCACUAAACAAACAUUGACGCUGAGGCACGAAAGCGUGGGGAUCAAACAGGAUUAGAAACCCGGGUAGUCCC